rnacentral:rRNA from 1 species
CUGCAACUCGCCUGCAUGAAGUCGGAAUUGCUAGUAAUCGCAGAUCAGCAUGCUGUGGUGAAUACGUUCCCGGGCCUUGUACACACCGCCCGUCACACCAUGGGAGUCGGUAACACCCAAAGUUGGUAGUCUAACCGCAAGGAGGACGCCGCCUAAGGUGGGAUUGAUGACUGGGGUGAAGUCGUAACAAGGUAAC